GACAGCGGAAAUAAGAAACCAAAGGGAAAAAACAAUAUACCCAAAAUAUUUAUCUGGACUCUUUAACCAUUUUAAAUCCUAUUAUAGAACCCAGGUAUGUAGUCCACCUGUCAUCGCCUCUCUUUAAAUUUAAGGGCCACACUUUUGACUGCUUUCUCACACUGCAAUAUAGUAACAGGACAAAAAUGUUAUUACCACCUUUUGAAGAAACUUAAUAGACUGCCAAAUGUUACAUGGUCGGUAUUAAUUACCAUGCAAGUAUGGAAAGAUUGACGGUGAAGUGCUUAAAUUUGGAAGUAUUGCUUUAGUACAAUGUGCAAAGUGAGAUGCAUAUUAACCAAUAUCACCAUGCACAAUAAUUGUAAUGUCAAUCUAAUGUUCUCAUAAUAAAAUAUGAUAAACUUCGACGUAGAAUCUGCAGAAAUUUUAAGGCCAAGUUCUUACCAAUAAUCAAACACAACCCGUUAAAGUGCAAACUAUUGAAAUCAUCUGUACCAAGGUUGCAAAUGGUGCAACUUCUUUAAUAUUGAGUAAGAAUGCUGUCAGAUAUAGUUAACCAUUUGUACGCAUACUCCUUUAUUGGAUAAUGCAUUAACACUAUAACGGAAAGAGAUGUUAAAACACUGAUAAUCUCAAGCAGGUAAAAAAUAGCAUUGAUUAUAGCAAUAUGUAUAGCGUUAACAUCAUCAAGGUAGUACCUGAGUUAAAUCAUAUUAUGAUGCGCCACCAAUAGAAUUGGUCUGGAGAAUUUAGUCUCUGGUGGGGACUCAUGGAGAAUCCAUCCAAUAGAAUAAGUAGGCACAACAAAUAUAACAUAGUAAUCUAUCGAGACUUCCACCACAGUAAGUUUUAUUUAAAAAACAAAUAUGUCAGAAUAAUUUGGUAGAGGGAGCUAUAAUAGUAGGUCAUAAGAUACAUAUACGUACCUUCUGAGUUGAGAGGCAAAAUAUCCAUCAUUUUAAGCUGGCAGGAAUAACUCCAUUAAUUCCCUACAGUUACAGGCAGAACUUUGGGGUUCAGUAAAACACCAUAAACUGUCUUGUACCGGCCAUUUGAGGAUCCAUUUAGUUUCUAGCUCUCCUCUCUCUCCCUGGUUCAUAAAGCAAAUAUCAAACACACAUGGAUUUCUGUGAAGAUUAUAUUGCUACAGCAUUUUCUACAUACAACUAAAACUAUUCGACACUCAGGAUAUAACUAAUAGUUAUUUUGAGAUGCAUAAUACAUAAGUUCAGUUCGCAGGACAUGUAGGCCAGUGUGAUUACGCCUUUCCCUAGCUUGGCUUCUCGAUGGAGUGUCCUUGUACAGCAGCUCGAAUCGCAGGCAGAGGCUGAGCAAACAACAUCUUACACAAAACAAUGCAGUGGAAAAGCAAGUUAGUUUCUCCCCAUAUAGCAGCGAACGCCAAACUCUUGAGAUGUUGCCCGCAGAAAAAGAACACUUUGGAGAUACGCCUCAUCGUUGUCGGGAUCGGGAGAGGUCAUUAUUGGCUAAAUUAUCGGCAUGAUCGAUCUAGAAUUUCAGCAAGGGUCGCGAGAUGUAGUGCACUUGAGGAUGGGAAGAUCAGUUCUACUCAUGCCGAGGUUUUGUGAGAUUCAGAUCAGUAGGGAUUGAAAUAGGUGCCCGUCUCUUUACCUAUUACGGAGUAGGUAUUAGAUUUAACAGACCGUCGAUUUUGAUUACCUAGAUUCCACGUAAUAAAAAUAGAAUAUGUCUGCCUCCUUCAACGAUGGAUUUCAAAGGGGAAAUAUGUCAAAAGCAGUAACGUGGAUUCAUGGAAUCUACGUGAACUUAUGGAACAUGGAAUAGGCCAUCAAGAAAAGAAUAUGAUGGCGGCAGAGAGGGAUUAGUUGGUGGAUCACCUGAAUCAUCCCAUGACGAUCAAGCAUGAUCGACAUGCCAAAGGAUCGAAGCGUUUAUACCAUCAAGAAAAGACGGACGGAGAUCCACGCCAAUCUUGCUUUUUAAUCUUGAUUGAUCUUGUGAGAUAGAAGAGGCAUGCAGAAUAACUCAUAGGUGGGUAGUAUAGAGUUUUAGAGACACGUGAGAGAGAUGCAUGGCAGAUUUUUACCUUAGAGAUAUGUGAGAGAUUGGAGAGAGAAAGAUACUUUCCCUUGGGUCAGAUUCACG
rnacentral:lncRNA from 1 species